rnacentral:rRNA from 1 species
CGAACGGGUGAGUAACGCGUGAGGAACCUGCCUCAAAGAGGGGGACAACAGUUGGAAACGACUGCUAAUACCGCAUAAGCCCACGGGUCGGCAUCGACCUGAGGGAAAAGGAGCAAUCCGCUUUGAGAUGGCCUCGCGUCUGAUUAGCUAGUUGGUGAGGUAACGGCCCACCAAGGCGACGAUCGGUAGCCGGACUGAGAGGUUGAACGGCCACAUUGGGACUGAGACACGGCCCAG